rnacentral:ncRNA from 1 species
CCGCUGCAAAACCCGGGGCGCGAGCCCGGGCGGAGCGGCCGUCGGUGCAGAUCUUGGUGGUAGUAGCAAAUAUUCAAAUGAGAACUUUGAAGGCCGAAGAGGAGAAAGGUUCCAUGUGAACGGCACACGCACAUGGGUAAGCCGAUCCUAAGGGACGGGGUAACCCCGGCAGAUAGCGCGAUCACGCGCAUCCCCCGAAAGGGAAUCGGGUUAAGAUUUCCCGAGCCGGGAUGUGGCGGUUG